rnacentral:rRNA from 1 species
GACGAACGCUGGCGGCGUGCUUAACACAUGCAAGUCGAACGGACAGGCGCUGCUCUUGCUGGUUGCUCGAUUGGCGAACGCGUGAGUAGCACGUGUGUAACCUCCCCUUGUCAUUGGGAUAACUUCAGGAAACUCGGGCUAAUAUCGGAUAGGAGCUCCUGCUGCGUGGGGUGGGUUGGAAAGUUUCGGCGGUGGGGGAUGGACUCGCAGCUUAUCCGCUUGUUUGGGAGGUAGUGGCUUACCAAGGCUUCGACGGGUAGCCGGCCUGGGAGGGUGACCGGGCACAUUGGGACUGAGAGACGGACCAGACGCCUACGGGAGGCAGCAGGGGGGAAUAUUGCACAAUGGGCGGAAGCGUGAUGCAGCAACGUCGCGAGCGGGAUGACGGCUUUCGGGUUGUAAACCGCUUUCGCCGGUAACGAAGCGUGAGUGACGGUAAUGGGUAAAGAAGCACCGGCUAACUACGUG